rnacentral:rRNA from 1 species
UCCGGCGCGCGCCUUCAUGUCGUCGGCCGAGCCGUCCGUCUCUAAGCGUUGUGGUCAUUCAUCCGCUUGCGAGUCGGUCGGGUCUGCGCCGUUAAACCCUUAUCAAAGGUUGACCUCGGAUCGGGUAGGGAUACCCGCUGAACUUAAGCAUAUCAAUAAGCGGAGGAAAAGAAACCAACAGGGAUUGCCUCAGUAACGGCGAGUGAAGCGGCAACAGCUCAAAUUUGAAAUCUGGCGCAAGCCCGAGUUGUAAUUUGUAGAGGAUGCUUCUGGGUCGCGGCCGGUCUAAGUUCCUUGGAACAGGACGUCACAGAGGGUGAGAAUCCCGUAUGUGAUCGGCUUGCACCCUCCACGUAGCUCCUUCGACGAGUCGAGUUGUUUGGGAAUGCAGCUCUAAAUGGGAGGUAAAUGUCUUCUAAAGCUAAAUACCGGCCAGAGACCGAUAGCGCACAAGUAGAGUGAUCGAAAGAUGAAAAGCACUUUGGAAAGAGAGUUAAAAAGCACGUGAAAUUGUUGAAAGGGAAGCGCAUGCAACCAGACUUGUCGGCGGUGUUCCGCCGGUCUUCUGACCGGUUUACUCGCCGCCGACAGGCCAGCAUCGUCUGGGCGCGCCGGAGAAAGGCGCCGGGAAUGUAGCUCCUCGGAGUGUUAUAGCCCGGCGCACAAUACGGCGCCGCCCGGGCGAGGUCCGCG